AUUGAACGCUGGCGGCAGGCCUAACACAUGCAAGUCGAACGGUAACAGGGAUCAGCUUGCUGAUUCGCUGACGAGUGGCGGACGGGUGGGUAAUGUCUGGGAAACUGCCUGAUGGAGGGGGAUAACUACUGGAAACGGUAGCUAAUACCGCAUAACGUCGCAAGACCAAAGAGGGGGACCUUCGGGCCUCUUGCCAUCGGAUGUGCCCCGAUGGGAUUAGCUAGUAGGUGGGGUAACGGCUCACCUAGGCGACGAUCCCUAGCUGGUCUGAGAGGAUGACCAGCCACACUGGAACUGAGACACGGUCCAGACUCCUACGGGAGGCAGCAGUGGGGAAUAUUGCACAAUGGGCGCAAGCCUGAUGCAGCCAUGCCGCGUGUAUGAAGAAGGCCUUCGGGUUGUAAAGUACUUUCAGCGGGGAGGAAGGGAGUAAAGUUAAUACCUUUGCUCAUUGACGGUACCCGCAGAAGAAGCACCGGCUAACUCCGUG
rnacentral:rRNA from 1 species